CCUACGGGUGGCAGCAGUGAGGAAUAUUGGUCAAUGGGCGCGAGCCUGAACCAGCCAAGUAGCGUGAAGGAUGACUGCUCUAUGGGUUGUAAACUUCUUUUAUAAAAGAAUAAAGUUAGGUACGCGUGCCUUUUUGUAAGUACUUUAUGAAUAAGGAUCGGCUAACUCCGUGCCAGCAGCCGCGGUAAUACGGAGGAUCCGAGCGUUAUCCGGAUUUAUUGGGUUUAAAGGGAGCGUAGAUGGGUUGUUAAGUUAGUUGUGAAAGUUUGCGGCUCAACCUUAAAAUUGCAAUUGAUACUGGCAGCCUUGAGAACAGUUGAGGUAGGCGGAAUUCGUGGUGUAGCGGUGAAAUGCUUAGAGAUCACACAGAACUCCGAUUGCGAAGGCAGCUUACUAAGCUGCCACUGACAUUGAUGCUCGAAAGUGUGGGUAUCAAACAGGAUUAGAUACCCUAGUAGUC
rnacentral:rRNA from 1 species